GACGAACCGUGCGAACGUUGUUCGGAUUCACUGGGCUUAAAGGGCGCGUAGGCGGGCGGUCAAGUCGGGGGUGAAAUCUUUCAGCUUAACUGGAAACGUGCCUUCGAUACUGAUCGUCUUGAGGGAGGUAGGGGCAUGUGGAACUUCCGGUGGAGCGGUGAAAUGCGUAGAUAUCGGAAGGAACGCCGGUGGCGAAAGCGACGUGCUGGACCUCUUCUGACGCUGAGGCGCGAAAGCUAGGGGAGCAAACGGG
rnacentral:rRNA from 1 species